AAAAAAAAAAUCAUUUUCUACAAAUUAUAAACACCCAAAAAAAUCCAUAACAAGAGAAUGCACAAGAUUUAAUCCUUACCAUAAAAAACAAGUUGCAUAGAAGCAUUAAGAAAUAAAGGUUGUAGGUGAUCAUAAAUCAUAAUGUGCCUAAACAAGACCCAUUCAAACUCACAAAAAUUGGAGCCAAGAAUGAUUCUCUUGCUCCCCAAGCUUAAUAUAUAUUGUACACACGUCUCACACGCUGCCUUACUCGUUAAGAUUCAAACGCGCAUUCAACACAUUCUCUUACUUAACCCACUCUUCUACUCCUCUGUCGACACGACACUCACUCACACUCACAUUCCUCGCCGUUUCCCGGUGUAGCCACCGACGUAGCCACCGUCCUCCACCUCACUUCUUCACUUUUUCACUCUAUAUAAACACUCACAUCAUCCUAAACAUGUCUACCACCGCUCCACCUCACCCACCACCGCCUGCACUCCGUCGUGUUCCACAACCGUCAACUCCGCCACGGUUGAUUCCAGAAAGAGGACAGGUGCUCCGAAACGUGCUCAGAACUGUUUUCUCGUGUUUUUGUUUCGCCGGAGAGAGACGGAGACGAAGCCCACGACGCUUUAGAAGAGCUUCGACGGUGUCGCCGGUUUGUUCGUGACGGGGAUCGGAUCGAUUGGCGAUUGACGAUCGUGAUCGGCGCUGUUCUUGGCGACGGCGAGUAUGGUUUGUUUAUUACUGAUAAAUUAAACCUAAUAAGAAUCAGAAUUCAAACGAUUUUCGUUUGUAUGUUCAUA